rnacentral:rRNA from 1 species
GACGAACGCUGGCGGCGUGCCUAAUACAUGCAAGUAGGACGCAGUUGCGAACGGGUGAGUAACGCGUAGGUAACUACCUAUUAGAGGGGGAUAACUAUUGGAAACGAUAGCUAAUACCGCAUACUAGUAGAUGGACCUUCGUUGUAUUAGCUAGUAGGUAGGGGAAUGGCCUACCUAGGCAACGAUACAUAGCCGGGCUGAGAGGGUGAUCUGCCAAACUGGGACUGGGACGAGGCCCAGACUCCUACGGGAGGGAGCAAUAGGGGAACUUUGGCAAUGGGGGGAACCCUGACCGAGCAACGCCGCAUGAGUGGAGAAGGUUUUCGGAUCGUUAAGCUCUGUUGUUAAGGAAGCGGUACUUAACCAAAAAGGGACGGCUAACUACGUGCCAGCAGCCGCGGUAAUAC